GACGAACGCUGGCGGCGUGCUUAACACAUGCAAGUCGAACGGAAAGGCCUGCUUUCCCUUGUGGAUUGCGGGUACUCGAGUGGCGAACGGGUGAGUAACACGUGAGUGAUCUGCCCCCAACUUGGGUAUAAGCCUGGGAAACUGGGUCUAAUUCCCGAUAGGACUGCAGGGUGGUGCAUGUGGUGGAAAACGAUUUUCUAGUGGUUGGGGAUGAGCUCGCGGCCUAUCAGCUUGUUGGUGGGGUAAUGGCCUACCAAGGCGGCGACGGGUAGCCGGCCUGAGAGGGUGGACGGCCACAUUGGGACUGAGAGACGGCCCAGACUCCUACGGGAGGCAGCAGUGGGGAAUAUUGCACAAUGGGCGGAAGCCUGAUGCAGCGACGCCGCGUGGGGGAUGACGGCCUUCGGGUUGUAAACUCCUUUCGACCGCGAGGAAGCCACCUGGUUGGAAGGGUGGUGACGGUAGUGGUAGAAGAAGCACCGGCUAACUACGUA
rnacentral:rRNA from 1 species